CCUUCAUUGAGAAAGCAGUUUGAUUUGUGCAUUGCUCUGAAUACAUUGCUACUUAUUCUCUCCAGCUAUUGAGAGUGAGAUUUAUUCCUCUUAUCACAGCACAGCAGGAGCGCAUGGUCCGUAAAGGACAGAGGACACAUUCAUCGUGACAACCCAAAAGUUAAAGAAGCAAUGAAGUAAGGAGGGAGAGAUGCACCCACGUACUGCAGAGGUACUAAGAGGACAACCCUUCAGGCUGACCAAAUGUAUACAAACAAGUCAGAUCACUUUGGUGACAGGAAUAUUCCAAAAGCAGUGCCUCCCAAUGCCCUGUUACAGUCUGGGCCUACAGGUAUCUGACUGCAACACGUCCAUCUAUUCUGGAAGAUGGAAUUUGCUGGUUCAUUAGUUCCAUUAUACGCAGAACACACAUCAAGAAUAGGCAUUUCAACUUAUUUCUUUACCCAUGAAGAGUUUAACCUACUUUAAAAGUGACCGCUUCUAAUAAAAUCUGGUUAUGACAAUUUAGCCC